rnacentral:rRNA from 1 species
GACGAACGCUGGCGGCGUGCUUAACACAUGCAAGUCGAACGGAAAGGCCCCUUUGGGGGUCCUCGAGUGGCGAACGGGUGAGUAACACGUGAGUAACCUGCCCUUGACUUCGGGAUAACUUCAGGAAACUGGGGCUAAUACCGGAUAGGAAUCCUUGCUGCAUGGUGGGGGUUGGAAAGCUUCGGCGGUUUUGGAUGGACUCGCGGCUUAUCAGCUUGUUGGUGGGGUAGUGGCUUACCAAGGCUUUGACGGGUAGCCGGCCUGAGAGGGCGACCGGCCACAUUAGGACUGAGAUACGGCCCAGACUCCUACGGGAGGCAGCAGUGGGGAAUAUUGCACAAUGGGCGGAAGCCUGAUGCAGCAACGCCGCGUGCGGGAUGACGGCCUUCGGGUUGUAAACCGCUUUCAGCAGGGGCGAAGCUUGUGGUGACGGUACCUGCAGAAGAAGCACCGGCUAACUACGUG